CAUUCAAAAUGUUCUUAAAUAAUGGUGCAAAGGCAUUAGCAGGGAAAUAUACCUAAAUUACCAAAAAUAAGUCACUGUUAGUUUGUACAGGUUUCUGUGAUAAGAGUAAUUGUUAUAAGUAGGACAAACAUUAUAGGACUAACUCACCCCAUGUAUCUUUCAAUAGGCCACAGAACACACAGACUAGAAUAUGGGACUCGCACAGCUUAAAUAGUUUCGGGCGUGAUAUACGAGGAGGACCGACAGUGUUCUGGGCCCUUGUCACUCCUACAUAGGGACAUCAAAAUCAAGUUGAUGAGCUCUGUCACAGGUUCGGGGCAUCCAUGGCUCUGGAGUUCUUCCUUGGUGCUGCAAAGAAACCUGACUUUACGUCCAGCCUGUCUUGAAUCCAGGAUCGGGACAACUGGGAAGACUUAUUCCUGUCAACCCUCAGGACAUUGAGGUGAGUGUGUAAAGCAACUUGUGCCUCACUGUAAUCAUUAAUGAAAUGUUUGUUUUCCGUCACAGGGACCAUUUUCCCAGAUGUGGAUCAUGCUGAGUACAGUGAAGAACUGAAUCAGUACCUCAUAUUGAUAUUAAAAGAUUUGUAAGAGCCUUAUUGAAAACAAGAACAGGGCC